CAAAAGGAGAACAACACCUAUACUUAUCAUAAAGUGUAGUGGUUACACUUGUCCUAGAAGUAUAUACGAUUGCUCUUUACCCCCAUUCUUGCUAAACUAGACACUUUCAUUCUUAUUCUUUACCAACCUGGAAGGCAAAAGAUAGUAUCUCAUUUUAAUUUGCAUUUUCUAAAUAGGAUUUUAAGGAUCUUAGUAUUUUAUCUUGAGCAGAAGUGUAUCGGUCAAGGAAAACAGAAGUCAGUUUCUACUAAAAUAAGAAAAGCUAAGAAUGUUAGUACCCAGGAUAUAUUUUGAAACAAUUUAAAAUCAAGUGAAUUGAUUAAAACUGUAUUUUAGCUGUUCCUGGUAUUUAGGGAACCUUUUUUCUCUCUAAUCAUGCUGUGUAUAAUUGCAUAAAGACACAGCAGGAGAUAAACUUUUUAGGAAAAAAAAGCAAACAAAACUCUGAAGCCAAGUAGCAAAAGCAUUCCUCACGAUACAUGUCACUUUAAUUUCAUGUGGUAAUUAUUUUUACAAGCAUUUAGCACACAGUUUGAACCUCAGUUCAUAGAAGCCACCAUUUUUUCCAGAUAUGACAGAAUUGUGUGUUCAAAAAUAUGGCUAGAGGAGAAUUUCUGUUAAAACUUGUUGCAUAAAAAUUAAAAUUUUUUUGAAUGAUUGACAGAACCAAUAAAUUCUCUUUUCAGCUGACAAUUGUCUGUUUGCAUCAACAUCUUUUACCACACGAGGAACAUGUACAGAAUUUGAACCAUGAUGUACAAUGGGAAAAGUACUGCACUUCCUGGAGGGAAACUUGAGUUUAAACCCAGGAUUCAUUCAAGAAAAAGCUGCAUAACUGAGCCAGGACUGCAGCUACACACCUUCUUCUACAUGCCGUACAGUCUGGUUUCCUUUUCCAAGGACCCGUGCUGUGCUUUUGUCCAUGGCUCACCUUGUGUGGUGACGUCGAGACUUCUGAAGAUAUGGAAGACCAGUGCAUCUUACUGGACACAGAUGGAAAAAUAUCCCAACCCCAGCUCCACAAUGAAGCCAAAGUUUCCGCCCGUGACCCCUGCAGCAGCUGAUAGGUUUGACAGAACUAGCUUGACAUCUGCUUAA
rnacentral:lncRNA from 1 species